UACGAAGGGGGCUAGCGUUGCUCGGAAUGACUGGGCGUAAAGGGCGCGUAGGCGGUUUGUACAGUUAGGUGUGAAAUUCCCGGGCUCAACCUGGGGGCUGCACUUGAUACGUAUGGACUGGAGUGGGGAAGAGGGUCGUGGAAUUCCCAGUGUAGAGGUGAAAUUCGUAGAUAUUGGGAAGAACACCGGUGGCGAAGGCGGCGACCUGGUCCUUGACUGACGCUGAGGCGCGAAAGCGUGGGGAGCAAACAGG
rnacentral:rRNA from 1 species